UGUCAUUUGGACCUAUUGGACUCAUUUUAACUCGGCCAAAUACAUAGUAACAUACAUAAGAAGAUUUUACUUAUAUUUAUCGAACUAUUUGACACGGUCGCGUCAACUGUGUUUACGAGUGUCUUGUGUUCAGAUUGUUUUAAGUGAUAAUUUAACAAUAUUUUUCCAAAUAAAUGGAAAGAAACUUUUAUUUAUAUCAAAUAAUUGAGUGUCUCGACUGUGUGACAUUAUGUCUUGUGUGGUAUGGGGCUGCAGCUCACAUUCAGGAAGAAAAGAAAAUAGCCAACAACUUCUGUCGUUUCAUCGAUAUUAAAUCCAAAAGUGUCGACUGGAUUUACAUGAAAAGUCAGUUCAAGAAGACGAGAUGAAAAAUUUAAAAGAAAAGCUGAACAAGUCCCGC